rnacentral:rRNA from 1 species
GAUGAACGCUGGCGGUAUGCUUAACACAUGCAAGUCGAACGGUACCUUCGGGUAUAGUGGCGGACGGGUGAGUAACGCGUGAGAAUCUAUCUUCAGGUCGGGGACAACAGUUAGAAAUGACUGCUAAUACCGGAUGUGCCGAAAGGUAAAAGAUUUAUUGCCUGAAAAAGAGCUCGCGUCAGAUUAGCUAGUAGGUGGUGUAAGAGACUACCUAGGCUUCGAUCUGUAGCUGGUCUGAGAGGACGAUCAGCCACACUGGAACUGAGACACGGUCCAGACUCCUACGGGAGGCAGCAGUGGGGAAUUUUCCGCAAUGGGCGAAAGCCUGACGGAGCAAUACCGCGUGAGGGACGAAGGCUCUUGGGUUGUAAACCUCUUUUCUCAAGGAAGAUUCAGACGGUACUUGAGGAAUAAGCAUCGGCUAACUCUGUG